AUUACCCAACAACCGAGCAAGGCCACCACCACCGCGAGAGGUAGAGAGGAGAGAUCUUUCGUGAUCAAAGUCAUAAUCUUGUCGUCGCUUUGGCCUCGGGGAUUACCUCAAGCAACUCGGGAGCAUACCGAUACCGCAUCCGACUGGAGCCUGGUCGUGGUCGCGGAUCCACGGAGCGACGUGGACAGCACCCCCUCUGCGCUUCUCCCAUCGGUAGGGGCCCUGUGCAUGCAGCCCUCUAGGCUGACUAAACCAUAGCCGACGGUCCCGUUCCCUCCAUUUUAUUUCUAUGCUUCUUAUCUAGUUUCAAGAAAAGGAGGAAGAUAUAAGAUGGCCACACCUAGAUCACAUAUAUGACGUCUAUUUAUCCCUAAUUCUUUGUGUGACCUCGAUCUAACCAAUCAGAUCGCGUCAUGUUACCUACUUAUGUGCAGCCCUACUAAUUAAUUAAAAAUGUGAUAUCUUUUAGGUUAAAUAAUUUCUUUUAAUUAAUUCAAGUUAUGUUAGGUUCAUAUUAAUCUUGCGUGCGUAGUAAUAACAUUUUAUGCCACAUGUUUUAAUUAAGUAAUUAAUUACUUGUUUAAGUAAUGUUAAUUAGCCAGAUAAUCUAAUCAAUCUAAUUUAUAUUGAUGACCUACGCUUUUUAUAAAUAAUUGUUAAAGUGAUUAAUAUCAACUCACAUAUUUUGAUUUAAUACAUUCUUAAUUUAAAUGCAACAUCUUAGAAUUACCGCACCUAAAAAUAAUGUUUUGUUCAUAACUUUUACGUUUUAACUUCGUUCCCGUUGCAUUAGCUUCGUAAUAUUAUUACCUACGCUUUUGUAGCAUUAAUUUAUCAUGUAACAUGUUUUCAAAAUUAAUGAAGUACUUGAUUAACUUCUCUAAUUACAGUGAAAACAAUAUUUUAAUCUAGUAUAUGGCUAUAAUUUGACUAAGAUAUGAUGUCUAACUAAUUUAUAACUUAUAAUAAGGUCCAAUUAAGUUAUUUAUUUGUAAUAUCUUUAUCACAUGAAUUAUAGUCAACAUAGAACAUGGUUUUAUUAUUUAAUCACCUAAACUUUUAGAGAAUCAUAUCUUUAUAACCGUAGCUCUGAAUUUAGUGGUUCUCGAACCCACGAUCUCGUAGCAUCGCAUAGAUUAUUAUUAUGCAGUUUGUGCUUAUGUUUAGUGUGAUGUUAAAUUUGCCUAUAUCAUGUUUGUUUGUAUUGCUACGAAUAGCAGUGAGGUCACGAGAAUCUGAAGAUCAUCCUGGUACCUGGAAUAUCGAGUCCCAGGCAAGUUAUGCCCUUGAUCACUUCUUCUUACCCAAUCAUAUUCUUAUUAAUCAUAAUGAUCUGCAUAGGUUAAUUUUGAUGGGACCCAAUAGCUUACCCUAGUUUGACUAUCUUUAUACCUUGUUUACCACUGAAUUUUUGGGCAGUACCUGCUAUUGCUAUAUGUGGUUUUGGGUAUGGAGAUACACAUUAUUCAUAAUCAUACUUUUAUUAUCAGUUUGUUAUUUACUGUUCAUGAUAAGAUUAUUAUGUUAACUGGAACAUGGAGUGACCACCCGGAAAAACAGUGCUACCACAAGGGUAGUAUGGGACGCCCUUGGCUGACUAAUUAGGAAAGCUAUUGGAGGACUACCUUACCCGAAAGGGGCAAGGGCAGUAGGGGAGUGGUCAGUGUAGGGAGGCCCUUGGGUUGAUUUUGCUGCGAUGGCGGUCAGGCGAGGGGUCCCUGUAUUGGAGCGUCCUAGAAACUAUAGCGGGUUUUUCUGAAGCUAGUGGAUCUUUGUAAAGUCCUCGUAGUGCUACCCUGCCUCGCUUCCUUGGUAGAGGUGUAUGGGGUCCGAUCAACCCCGUGGCAAAUGGGUAACACAACUUGUGGGUAAAGAUGUGCAACCUCUGCAGAGUGUAAAACUGGUAUAUCAGCCGUGCUCACGGUCAUGAGCAGCUUUGACCCUCACAUGAUUAAUUUAUGGAACUAAAUUCAAUUUGUCAUAUGCAUUGCAUUGCGGGUGUUGUUAUCACUUUUGUUCUACUACUUAAUUAGGUUGGUAUUUACUUAUACUUAGUAACUGCUAAUAAAAUUUUGACCAACUUUAAAAGCAAUGCUCAGCUCUAACCAUCCUCUUUGGUAAGCCUUACACUUCACAUGAGCUCACACCUUUAGCGAGUUCAUGCACAUUAUUCCCCACGAACUUGUGGAGCGAUGAACGUAUGUGAGCUCACUCUUGCUGUCUCACACCCCCACAGGUCAAGAACAGGUGUCGCAGGAUGAGGCGCAUGGAGGAUACUGUGACGAGUUCAUGAGAGGUCUAGGCCGUCGUUCCCCAGCUAACUUUGGGUUGCUGGAUCGUUGUCUCCUUAUGAUGUAAUUAUUUAUUUAUUUUGUACAGAACUCCUAUUAUAUAGUAAAGAUGUGACAUUCGUUUUUG
rnacentral:lncRNA from 7 species